GUAUGAAACUGCUACUGUUCGCGGGAGAUGCAGCUGUUAGUUGAAAUUUAAGCAUACAAAAUUGCAUAUCGCAUUUAUCUCUUGCUUUCGCAUCUGCAAUGAUCUUUAGGAUUACCUCUUGGGGUGGGUUUAGGCCAAACAGCGCCAAACGUUCCCAAAUCUCCUUCAUCUGUUCGGCAUCUGCUGUGAGUACUGAAGGGUUUGCAAUGGCCAAAUUCUCUCUAUCCAACUCCAUUACUUCUCUGAUUAUAAUCCUUUUUGCCUUGCUGCUGGCAAUACCUACUCAGGCUUCCAAUAACUCCUUCAAAGUAGUACACUUAAGUUGAGCAUACCCGAUCUCCAUCCGUCGUACUCUUCGCGCGUUCCUACUUCAGAUUAUAGCUCCAGGGAAAGUGACCAUCCCACCGCUGCCACCAGAUGUGGCAGACCACCAGUAUAUUGCCGCCACCGACUCCCUUUCCUAAAAUAACGAAGAUCUAUUACUCAUGAAAGUAAAUAUCGCUGGUAUAGCCUUUCCCUCCACACAUUAGUCAAGAUUGAAUGCUCGACUAAUGUCUCUCUAAUGCAGGCAAGCACUCUCAAUUUAUACAUACAGUAAACUCCUCAUUGUUCCUGAGAGAUAAUUGAGUCAGGAAAAUUACAACUCAAUUAUCUCCUAGGUACAGAAAAAUAUAACAAUUUUUAAACACCCCAAAAGUACCCCCAAAAUACAUAGAAACCCCUGAUCUGAGUGCUUAACAUAUGCAAAAAGCACUCAAAUUGGUUCAGUGGUUUGGAAUUUCCAUCAAGGUACAGUUUUAACCAGCUGGCCACUAGGUAGAAGCCCAAAAUAGUUCCAGAGAAAUCGUAGCAAUGGCCGGUCUCAGUUCAAGAGUUUUUAUAUGAAAGCCAUAUACAAUAUCCGAAUACUUUUAUAUCUCCCAAAUGCCGUUCGUAUAGGUGGUCGUGAACUUGAACGGGCAGCAGUUCCAUAUUCACUGGUGUUCGCAGGAGUGCCUAGCCGAAAUAAGUUCAAGGCACUCAAUGACCAGAUACCACUGCCUGCAUUCGGGGAGACAAGAUGGCGCCUUUUAGUAUUAGUUUCCAUUGUGGUUUUGCACAGGAUACUUAGUGUUCCAUGUUCUAAUGAGAUGCUGGGUUGGUCCUCGUACGGAAACCGAACUAUGUGGGUUCGAACAAUCAAAAGAAGAGAAAGGAAACGAAAGUUACCGAACCAAGUGAUGGGGUAUUCCUUCACAUCUUUCAACUAGUUUAAUUUUAAUUUUUGUUUGAGUACUAAUGAUUUGUCGUGAUAUAUUUAUAUUGGGGGCAAUUUUGUUUAUUCUUUCCUCCUUAGCUAGGAUAAUAUGAAGGUCUGAUAUAGAUUUCCCCAACUUAGUCCAUGUCAUUCUUUAUUAAAUAACCCAUUAUUAUGCAUUUAAGAGCAUUCCACAAAGUUGGAUCGAGAUCUCGUUAUUGUCAUUGAAGGUCAGAAAUUGUUGUAUUUCCUCUAUGAGUUUAUGCUUCUCAGUGUCCGAAGUCACGUUGUAGUCCUUUAUUCUCAAAUCUACUCUACCUCCCGUUAAGGAGUUUGUUCUCAAUUUCACAGAAAACUGGGGUGUAAUCUGGCCAGCUAGUACUACCAAUGUUUGAGGAUAUAAAUAUUUUAAUACUAUUAAACUUCCUUGAGUAUGAUGGGUGCCUGUUCGAAAAAAAAGCUAUAAUCACUUUCUAAUGGAUGUUGUGUUCUCUGUAUAUCAACUAAGUUGUUUAUAAACAAACAUUUAGUGAAGUUUUCCACAUAGAGUUUAAUUCUAAUAUCUAACCUAUUUCCUUUCAUUAAUUUUUUAUCUAAGUUAAUGUUGGCGAUACAAUUUAGAUCCCCCGCCAUGAUCAAAUCUCCUUUUGAAAACCUUUCCACCCUUUCGAUCGGAGGAUUCAAGAAUUUUACAGGAAAAUCAUAAGGUGCAUAGCAAUUUACCAAAGUCUGAAUCUUCUUAUUUAAUUUACAAAUGAACAUUAUAUAUCUUCCAUUGGUAUAAAACUCAUGAAAGAUAUGUUAAAAUGCAAUAUCCUUAGAGAUUAUUAUUGCUACUCCUCUUUUUGUCGGAUCACCUAAUCUGGCUUCAUAAAUAACUGGGAAUUUCUUGUAUCUCCACAAUCUAGAGCUUUUACUGUCUCAGUGGGUGUCUUGUACAACGCAAAUAUCGAUCUUUUCUUUUUUUUUACAAGAUCAUAGAGAUAAGGUAAGAUUGAUGAGAACUGAAUCCCUUAAAAUUAAUUGUAACCGGUUUGAGAUUCAUUGGAUAUGGUACUUAACCCCCAAGUGCCUGUUCCUUCCUAAGUUUUUGCUGAUGAUUUGUUUUUCCCCUCUUCCCAGAUAAAUAACUCUAUUAAAAAUAAAUAACCAUCAACAUUCACACCAUUCAUUCUUAAUGCCCGG
rnacentral:lncRNA from 1 species